rnacentral:tRNA from 9 species
GGCAGGGUUGCUGAGCAAGGUUGAAAGCGACAGUCUGAGAAGCUGUAUCUCGCCCGAGAUCGCGGGUUCGAAUCCCGCCCCUGCCG